AUGUUUCAUGACUGAUGCCAUGGAUGGGAACCUUGAGUCUGGAGAUGAGAACAAAAAGAGAUCAGAGUUGUGCUAUGUAAUAGACGACCUAAGUGCACAACAUGCUCCUAAUGGAUUGGACCACACAGGUCUGUCACAUUCAGAAACUCCUAUUGAUGAGAAUUCUGAAUUUCAUCACCAGAACAUCCGUAUAACCUUACCAACAGACGACAUGAAUGAAGCCCAACAAUGGCCGGUGGUAAAAUACCAACCACAGCUUACUUCCCCACAGUUGACCCCCACAAAGCAUUGCCCACCAUACCAAAUGAGACAGCCAUCCACUUCAAUCAGCAAGAGCAGCCACAAAUCUUCUGCUGCACAGAUCCACCAAGUGGAUGGAGAUGGCCUGUGUGCCUCCAUCCUGUUGGCAUGUCUGUUCUGCCAGCCUUGGGACUGUUUACUGGCCACAGGGAAAGGAUGCCAUGUCUGUGCCUCGUCCCUGUGCUCUUCCCUAUGCUCCACAGUGUGCUGCUGUGAGCCUGAUUCCCUGGAGCCUCUGCUGGACACGUCCCAUCACUGUGGCUGCUGUGGGUGUCUGGAUGCCCACUGUUGCCUGUGUGGAGGUCCAGGAUUUGAGUGCUGUGUCUGUGAUACAUGCAUACAUGCCACAGAGUGUCUGGAUCUAGGCAUGGAGAUCUCACAAAUGCUCUUCCACUAACCAGAUCAGUGUCAAACGAAUGUGAACACUGUAAAGAGUCAGAUAUUGUAGAGAUUGUGUGGGCCAAACUCAAAGGACAGUAAUGAAUCCACUAAAUCAUCUAACAAAUGUAGCUGUUGUACAGUGGAGGCUCAUAAUAAUGUCCGGAACAGAGUUCAUGGAAUGGCACCAAACACCUGGGAACCAUGUGUUUGAUGUAUUUGAUACCAUUCCACUGAUUUCGUUCCA
rnacentral:lncRNA from 1 species